UACGUAGGCAGCAAGCGUUGUUCGGAAUUACUGGGCGUAAAGAGUGUGUAGGCGGUUCUCUAAGUCUGUCGUGAAAUCUCCCGGCUUAACUGGGAGGGUGCGGCGGAAACUGGAGUGCUAGAGGGUGGGAGAGGAAAGCGGAAUUCCUGGUGUAGCGGUGAAAUGCGUAGAUAUCAGGAGGAACACCUGCGGUGUAGACAGCUUUCUGGACCGCUUCUGACGCUGAGACACGAAAGCGUGGGUAGCAAACAGG
rnacentral:rRNA from 1 species